rnacentral:tRNA from 1 species
GGUCCUUUAGCUCAGCGGUUGGAGCGCGCGACUCAUAAUCGCUCGGUCGUUGGUUCAAAUCCAACAAGGACCA